rnacentral:rRNA from 1 species
CCUACGGGAGGCAGCAGUGGGGAAUAUUGCACAAUGGGGGAAAGCCUGAUGCAGCGACGCCGCGUGAAGGAAGAAGUAUUUCGGUAUGUAAACUUCUAUCAGCAGGGAAGAAAAUGACGGUACCUGACUCAGAAGCCCCGUCUACCUACGUGCCAGCAACCGCGGCAAUCCGUCGGGGGCCAGCGUUAUCCGGAUUUACUGGGUUUAAAGGGAGCGUAGGCGGUGCAGCAAGUCAGAAGUGAAAGCUCGGAGCUCAACUCCGGGACUGCAUUUGAAACUGUUGAACUAGAGUGCAGGAGAGGUAAGUGGAAUGCCUAGUGUAGCGGUGAAAUGCGUAGAUAUUAGGAAGAACACCGGUGGCGAAGGCAACUUACUGGACUGUAAAUGACGCUGAGGCUCGAAAGCGUGGGGAGCGAACAGGAUUAGAUACCCCUGUAGUC